GGUAGUCCACGCCGUAAACGAUGUCGACUUGGAGGUUGUGCCCUUGAGGCGUGGCUUCCGGAGCUAACGCGUUAAGUCGACCGCCUGGGGAGUACGGCCGCAAGGUUGAAACUCAAAUGAAUUGACGGGGGCCCGCACAAGCGGUGGAGCAUGUGGUUUAAUUCGAUGCAACGCGAAGAACCUUACCUACUCUUGACAUCCAGAGAACUUAGCAGAGAUGCUUUGGUGCCUUCGGGAACUCUGAGACAGGUGCUGCAUGGCUGUCGUCAGCUCGUGUUGUGAAAUGUUGGGUUAAGUCCCGCAACGAGCGCAACCCUUAUCCUUUGUUGCCAGCGGUUAGGCCGGGAACUCAAAGGAGACUGCCAGUGAUAAACUGGAGGAAGGUGGGGAUGACGUCAAGUCAUCAUGGCCCUUACGAGUAGGGCUACACACGUGCUACAAUGGCGCAUACAAAGAGAAGCGACCUCGCGAGAGCAAGCGGACCUCAUAAAGUGCGUCGUAGUCCGGAUUGGAGUCUGCAACUCGACUCCAUGAAGUCGGAAUCGCUAGUAAUCGUAGAUCAGAAUGCUACGGUGAAUACGUUCCCGGGCCUUGUACACACCGCCCGUCACACCAUGGGAGUGGGUUGCAAAAGAAGUAGGUAGCUUAACCUUCGGGAGGGCGCUUACCACUUUGUGAUUCAUGACUGGGGUGAAGUCGUAACAAGGUAACCGUAGGGGAACCUGC
rnacentral:rRNA from 1 species